rnacentral:misc_RNA from 1 species
AUCCAUAUCUAUUUCAGUAGCAGGAAUUUAACAAAGAAUAAAGGAUGAACUGCUGAUAUUUAUUGUUCCUUCAUUGUGGCUUGCUGCUAUUAUCCCACCAGGCCACUGUCCAUUUUCAUGUAGAAUUUCAAUGAUGGUAGGGAAAAUAAUUAAAUUAGGACUCUGCCGUAGAAUACACAAACAAAACCUCUUCCUACACAAACAAAACCUCUUCCCUGAUGUGUGUGUGUGUGUGUG